AGAGUUGAUCCUGGCUCAGGAUGAACGCUGGCGGCGUGCCUAAUACAUGCAAGUCGAGCGAACAGAUGAGAAGCUUGCUUCUCUGAUGUUAGCGGCGGACGGGUGAGUAACACGUGGGCAACCUACCUAUAAGACUGGGAUAACUCCGGGAAACCGGGGCUAAUACCGGAUAAUAUAUUGAACCGCAUGGUUCAAUGUUGAAAGACGGUUUCGGCUGUCACUUAUAGAUGGACCCGCGCCGUAUUAGCUAGUUGGUAAGGUAACGGCUUACCAAGGCAACGAUACGUAGCCGACCUGAGAGGGUGAUCGGCCACACUGGAACUGAGACACGGUCCAGACUCCUACGGGAGGCAGCAGUAGGGAAUCUUCCGCAAUGGGCGAAAGCCUGACGGAGCAACGCCGCGUGAGUGAUGAAGGUCUUAGGAUCGUAAAACUCUGUUGUUAGGGAAGAACAAAUUUGUUAGUAACUGAACAAGUCUUGACA
rnacentral:rRNA from 1 species